CCUUCCUUGAUGAUCCUUCAAGACUUUCGUUCAUCUGAGUCUCCUGAAGCAAUUUGUGUCUCUGAGAAGG